rnacentral:rRNA from 1 species
CCUACGGGAGGCAGCAGUGAGGAAUAUUGGUCAAUGGCAGCGAGGCUGAACCAGCCAAGCCGCGUGAGGGAUGACGGUCCUAUGGGUUGUAAACCUCUUUUGUCAGGGAACAAAGGCCGCGACGUGUCGCGCAUUGCGUGUAUCCGAAGAAAAAGCAUCGGCUAACUCCGUGCCAGCAGCCGCGGUAAUACGGAGGAUGCGAGCGUUAUCCGGAUUUAUUGGGUUUAAAGGGUGCGCAGGCGGAACGUUAAGUCAGCGGUAAAAUUGCGGGGCUCAACCCCGUCGUGCCGUUGAAACUGGCGGUCUUGAGUGGGCGAGAAGUAUGCGGAAUGCGUGGUGUAGCGGUGAAAUGCAUAGAUAUCACGCAGAACUCCGAUUGCGAAGGCAGCGUACCGGCGCCCAACUGACGCUGAGGCACGAAAGCGUGGGUAUCGAACAGGAUUAGAUACCCCUGUAGUC